CAGCAGCACCCCAGGAGCAGCGGCCCCAGGCCCCAGGCUCCUGCUGCCCGCCCCGUGGCCUCCCCUCCCUGCACGGCGGCGAUGGUGGCUGCCAGCUCCACGGCGCGCGGUCGGCUACGUGCAGGCGCAGAAGGCCGGCCUCCGCCGUCUCCUGAGAAAAGGCAGCGUGGAUUAUCUUCUGCUGCGGUACUUUGCAUACCACAGGAGGCAGUGGAAACAACAGCAAUGUGUACUUAGUCAGAUGCACAAAGUAUCUUGUGGAAUUGCCCUCAGCGUCACAUACCUGUUGAUCAAGACACCGGGAAUGCAUACUGUGUAUACAGCCUGCUUUUGAUGACAUCUCGUAACAGCAUCAGAAUUGACAUAACCUGGGACCCUACAGUUAAGAAAACCACCUUUAAAUUAUGCCUGGCAACCAAAUGCUUGCACAUUCGCAUAUUUUUACAAGUACUUUAUAUUUUACAUUGCAUCAGCUCCAUCACUUCAGCUUUUAUACGGUCUGGGAAUGUUUACUAAACUUUCAGCAUCCUUAUUUGGAAAACACUACAUAAUGGAAAGAGAGACUGUGUCACACAUCAUUACAGCUUUCAUCACUUUAUCCAUUCUUCAUUGCUAAUGCAACGUUCAUUUAGAAGGUAUUUUCAACUGUGUUUACAUACACAAUAAAGUGAGACAGACACUGACUUUAUGAAAUAUAAACAUCUACAAAACAAACGUGACGAUUACUCAGUAAGACUCAGCUCUCCACUGAAAAAAUCAGCACAAGUUGCCUGCUGAUCUAUGCCUGCCUCAAGCCACAGCAGCCACAACAUCCAACUUCUGAACAGUGGCAAAUAGGCAUACCAAUGGAAGAAUACAGAAGGGUAGCUCAAACAGGACUUCAGUAUUCAGCUUUAAUCACCACCACUACUAUCAGUAAAAACUCCUCAGCGGUCACAUGUUCAUGUCUUAACCGAGUAUUUCAUAAUCAGAUUCUAAAUUAAAACUCUUGGUACUAA